GCCUAUAACCAAAUCACCAUGAAUGCUUCCCAUCUCGUCAGAUGUCGGAUGUUAAGCAGUCUUGUGCCUGGAUAGUGCUUGGAUGGGUGACCGCCAUGCACAGCAGAUUGUCAUAGGCC
rnacentral:rRNA from 1 species